rnacentral:snRNA from 1 species
CUGCUUGCUUCAGUAGCGCGCAUACUAAAACUGGAAUGAUACAGAGAAAAUUAGAAUGGUCCCUGCAUAAGGAUGACAUGCAAAUUCAUGAAGCAUUCCACAUAGAU